rnacentral:miRNA from 14 species
CGCUGGUUUUUUUCCGCGGUGAUA